GACGAACGCUGGCGGCGUGCUUAACACAUGCAAGUCGAACGGAAAGGCCCUGCUUGCAGGGUACUCGAGUGGCGAACGGGUGAGUAACACGUGGGUGAUCUGCCCUGAACUUCGGGAUAAGCCUGGGAAACUGGGUCUAAUACCGGAUAGGAGCCAUUUUUAGUGUGAUGGUUGGAAAGUUUUUUCGGUGUAGGAUGAGCUCGCGGCCUAUCAGCUUGUUGGUGGGGUAAUGGCCUACCAAGGCGGCGACGGGUAGCCGGCCUGAGAGGGUGGACGGCCACAUUGGGACUGAGAUACGGCCCAGACUCCUACGGGAGGCAGCAGUGGGGAAUAUUGCACAAUGGGCGCAAGCCUGAUGCAGCGACGCCGCGUGGGGGAGGACGGCCUUCGGGUUGUAAACUCCUUUCGCUAGGGACGAAGCUUUUUGUGACGGUACCUAGAUAAGAAGCACCGGCUAACUACGUG
rnacentral:rRNA from 1 species